rnacentral:rRNA from 1 species
UACGUAGGGUGCAAGCGUUGUCCGGAAUUAUUGGGCGUAAAGAGCUCGUAGGCGGCUCGUCGCGUCGGCUGUGAAAACCCGGGGCUCAACCCCGGGCCUGCAGUCGAUACGGGCGGGCUAGAGUCCGGUAGGGGAGACUGGAAUUCCUGGUGUAGCGGUGAAAUGCGCAGAUAUCAGGAGGAACACCGGUGGCGAAGGCGGGUCUCUGGGCCGGAACUGACGCUAAGGAGCGAAAGCGUGGGGAGCGAACAGG